ACGCGAUGAACCUUACCUGGGCUAGAAUGCAGUCUGACCGUGGGUGAAAGCUCAUUUCGUAGCAAUACGCAGAUUGUAAGGUGCUGCAUGGCUGUCGUCAGCUCGUGCCGUGAGGUGUUGGGUUAAGUCCCGCAACGAGCGCAACCCCAUACAUUAGUUGCCAACAGGUAAAGCUGGGAACUCUAGUGAAACUGCCGUCGUAAGACGCGAGGAAGGAGGGAGUGAUGUCAAGUCAUCAUGGCCUUUAUGC
rnacentral:rRNA from 1 species